rnacentral:rRNA from 1 species
AUGCCUGUUCGAGCGUCAUUUCAACCCUUAAGCCUAGCUUAG